rnacentral:lncRNA from 1 species
CACGUCUUAGUUUUGAUCUUAGCUAAACAGCAACUAACCACUUCCUUUCCUUUGCACUUCCUCCACAAAUACAUAUAAGAGGUGAUGGUGAUGUUCCGCUCUGUCUUUCUGUCGGAUGGUCAUCAUGUUCAGUGUAGACAAAGCAGCUCUACUUUCCAUUCAGCUGUUUGUGGUGUGCCACGCCCAUGCAGGGGAUCUACAAGUUGACCACAGGAAUAUACUGGUGUCCAGGGGAGACUCCAUCAGUCUCACUUGCAACAUAUCCAUGAAAAAUGCAACACAAAUCAAUUGGACCAAAGACAAAAAAAACAUUUUUACUUAUUCAAAAAAACAUAAUCAGACUUUUUCAAAUUUCACCUCUCACAGACUCAGAAUAGAGACGGACUCACCUACACAGCUGAACAUUUCUAAUGCUCAGCAUGACGACUCAGGACUUUACACAUGUAAUGUAAAUGCUAGAAAUGGUCCACAGGACAUUGUCUGGAAUUUAACUGUGUCUCAGAGCCUUGACGAAAUGAUUCUAUCAUGGCCUUUUCUAUACAUACUCGCACCUGUAACUGGAUUUCUUCUAUGCAGCUUGAUGGUAGCUGUCUGCAUCUGCAGGAAACAUGGGACCAUGACCCCAAACCAGAAUCCAGUCCAAGGCCAGUUUGACCUUCAGUCAGGAGGAGAGGUCAUUGUCAUCUUAGACACUCUCAGAUUUCUCUGCUUUAUUUUCUUAUUGAUUGUGUUGAACUUUAUAUUUAUCUUCUACUCCUCCAGGGGGUCGUCUCUCAGGAGCAGGCUGACAUGGAUCAUAGGCCAAAUAACAGGAGGAGUCAGUACUUGGAGAAACUGA